GACGAACGCUGGCGGCGCGCCUAACACAUGCAAGUCGAACGAGCGAGAGAGAGCUUGCUUUCUCGAGCGAGUGGCGAACGGGUGAGUAACGCGUGAGGAACCUGCCUCAAAGAGGGGGACAACAGUUGGAAACGACUGCUAAAUACCGCAUAAGCCCACGGCUCGGCAUCGAGCAGAGGGAAAAGGAGCAAUCCGCUUUGAGAUGGCCUCGCGUCCGAUUAGCUAGUUGGUGAGGUAACGGCCCACCAAGGCGACGAUCGGUAGCCGGACUGAGAGGUUGAACGGCCACAUUGGGACUGAGACACGGCCCAAAACUCCUACGGGAGGCAGCAGUGGGAUAUUGCACAAUGGGGGAAACCCUGAUGCAGCGACGCCGCGUGAGUGAAG
rnacentral:rRNA from 1 species